rnacentral:tRNA from 3 species
GCCCCUUUAGCUCAGUUGGUAGAGCAGCUGACUCUUAAUCAGCGGGUCCUCGGUUCGAGCCCGAGAGGGGGCAC